GAAUAUUGGACAAUGGGGGCCACCCUGAUCCAGCCAUGCCGCGUGUGUGAAGAAGGCCUUUUGGUCGUAAAGCACUUUAAGCAGUGAAGAAGACUCCAUGGUUAAUACCCAUGGACGAUGACAUUAGCUGCAUAAUAAGCACCGGCUCACUCUGCGCCACCAGCCGCGGUAAUACAGAGGGUGCACGCGUUAAUCGGAAUUACUGGGCGUAAAGCGAGCGUAGGUGGCUUGAUAAGUCAGAUGUGAAAUCCCCGGGCUUAACCUGGGAACUGCAUCUGAUACUGUUAGGCUAGAAUAGGUGAGAGGAAGGUAAAAAUCCAGGUGUAGCGGUGAAAUGCGUAGAGAUCUGGAGGAAUACCGAUGGCGAAGGCAGCCUUCUGGCAUCAUAUUGACACUGAGGUUCGAAAGCGUGGGUAGCAAAC
rnacentral:rRNA from 1 species